rnacentral:rRNA from 1 species
AUUGAACGCUGGCGGAAUGCUUUACACAUGCAAGUCGAACGGCAGCACGGACUUCGGUCUGGUGGCGAGUGGCGAACGGGUGAGUAAUACAUCGGAACGUGCCCAGUCGUGGGGGAUAACGUAGCGAAAGCUACGCUAAUACCGCAUACGAUCUAAGGAUGAAAGCGGGGGAUCGCAAGACCUCGCGCGAUUGGAGCGGCCGAUGGCAGAUUAGGUAGUUGGUAGGGUAAAGGCCUACCAAGCCGACGAUCUGUAGCUGGUCUGAGAGGAUGAUCAGCCACACUGGGACUGAGACACGGCCCAGACUCCUACGGGAGGCAGCAGUGGGGAAUUUUGGACAAUGGGCGCAAGCCUGAUCCAGCCAUUCCGCGUGCAGGAUGAAGGCCUUCGGGUUGUAAACUGCUUUUAUACAGGAAUAAAGUUAGCCACGUGUGGUUAUUUGUAGGUACUGUAUGAAUAAGGACCGGCUAAUUCCGUGCCAGCAGCCGCCGUAA